AUCGAACGCUGGCGGCAGGCCUAACACAUGCAAGUCGAGCGAGCGGCGGGCAGGUGAGAACUGUCUCGGAAACUGCCCGUAAGAGAGGGAUCAAAACUGGAAAAGGUAGAGAAAACCGCGCAUACCGAGAUUUGGCCAGAUGGGAUUAGCUAGUGGGUGGGGUAACGGCUCACCUAGGCGACGACCCCUAGCUGGUCUGAGAGGGUGACCAGCCACACUGGAACUGAGACACGGUCCAGACUCCUACGGGAGGCAGCAGUGGGGAAUAUUGCACAAUGGGCGCAAGCCUGAUGCAGCCAUGCCGCGUGUGUGAAGAAGGCCUUCGGGUUGUAAAGCACUUUCAGCGGGGAGGCGUUACCCGCAGAAGAAGCACCGGCUAACUCCGUGCCAGCAGCCGCGGUAAUAC
rnacentral:rRNA from 1 species